CCUGUUAUAAAAAUCUAAAAGCAUUAAUAAUUCUCUCACUGAAAUUUUACAUUUAAGCAUUUCUUUUCUUCAAAUGUCAAUCUUCUGUUGAUUCUGUUGAUCUUUCUCCACAGGAAGCUCUGUUUCCUCAUUCUGUAACUCAAGAUCACAUGAGUUUUGUAUUACAAGAGCAGAAACCAUGGAUGUGUUAACUAUCAUUAUCCUGAUGGUUCUUUUGAGAAAAUGUCAUGGGAACACUUAUCUACACUUCCAAGAAGAAGAAGAAGGAGAAAUAAAAAUACCAUUCCAGUGUGAACAGGGACUUUGGCAAAUUGACAUAAAAAACGACAACAUAGUGGAUUAUAACUGCAGUUUUACCAAGGAAAAUAUGUGGAAAGAAUGUGAACAUAAGGACUUUAAGUUGGUUAAAUACACAGAAGAACAUGGAUUUCUGUUGAAAACAAACAGCAGCGCAAUCUUGGAAUGUGUUCACAAUCUCACUUCAACAUUUAUAUUUCCCUUUAUUUUGUCAAGAGACCAGGUGGAUUCCUUUAUCGUGGCAUUAAUUAAACCAGAGAUGGUGAGUGGUGGGCCUGAUGUGGAAACAAAAAACAUUGUCACCAAGCGCCAAGAAGAAACAGUUGACCUUAUAUGUAAUUUCAAAUUAAAUGAUACAUUUUCUAAAGGUCACAUUUCUGUGUAUUGGAUUAAGAUCACAAAUGAAAGAAGUACAUGUAUUUAUUCUUUUUAUUUGGGCGAUUAUGGAGAACAAGAAUAUUACCGUCACUGUCCAGUUGAUGAAUCCCUGCAUAAAAGAAUGUCAAAUAUUUCAACUGCAAACAAAGAAAAUCACAGUCUUAAAAUCAACCAAGUGACACAUUCAGACAGUGGACAGUAUGUGUGUGCCUUAUAUGUACAGGAAAAUGAGAACAAAUGGUAUGGAAAAGUGAUCUCUAAUAUCACGGUCACUGUAAAAGACAACAGCACCUCCACAAACCAGUCACAUGAUAAGAAUAACCUCAUCAUACUGUAUGUAGUGGGAGCUCUAUUGCUCUUCUGCUUCUUUGCUACUGUCAUUGUCAUGAAGAAAAAGAUCAAGAAUUCCCAAGCAAAACAUAAAACCCUGGGGAUGAACAGAAACCAAGAUGGAGAGGAGACACUUGACUGUUCCCCAUAUGCUGUGGGAACAGGAGACCAGGGGCCCUACUCUCUUGUGAAACAUCCUGAAGUCAGAGAUCCUGUAACGGUCCAAAACAGGCCUGAUGAAUAUGCUCCUGCUGACUCCUAUGAUGUAAUCAUGUUUAAUCCUGAGUAUGAGGCCAUUGACUCCGGGAGACGUCAGACAUCAUCCACCUGACCACACCAGGACUGGAAAUAAAGCAUGGGUUACUAGAAAAACAUUAGAUUUAGUUACUAAUAUUAUGUACAUAAAGACACAUGAAGAUAAUGUGAUUUUCAUUAUUUUUCACCUUCAUGUUGUGUUUAUUCAUAUUGUGUUCAUACUUCAUAUUGACUGAAAUUCACACUAUAUAUUUUUAUCUGUUUUCUCUCUUUUAUUUUUUCAUCUGUUAAAGUGAAUUGAAAUACCUGUUGUAGGAAAUGUGCUAGAUAAAUAGUUUGAUUGGAUUUUGAGUAAGGUUGGGGUAGGAUCACCCGGAGUAUCUUUUGGAUUGGGGUGGUGGGAUAAUAUAUUGUUAAAAAAUUACAAAUUACAAUAAAAUAUUUUUCAUCACUUCAUAGAAAAAUACAAAAAGUGAAAUUGAAGAGAAAAAAGGAUCUACUUUAAGGGGCACUGUGUAAAAUCCUGCCCCUAAACAAUAACACGACUUGUCUCCUCGUCUUCCCUCAUCGAACGAGACCGGAACAGUAUACGUCUAAGGUGCUUUAGGUUUGGAAGAAUAGUACUACGAGUGUCUACAGUGAGUAUAACAAGAUAACAAGUCAAGACAAACUGACAGGCCGAGAAGGUUUAAAUGGGGAAUAAUCUCAGGCACUUGUUUCAAUUUUGUAGAAAACUAUUAUUUUAAACAUUAACUUGAAAUAUUAACUGCCGAUGACUACUCAUAAUUUUUGCCUGUAAUUAUGCUAGUAGUAAAUUAAAAGUCUUAUGUAUUGUCAUUUAAUGUAAUGUACUUAAUAAAACAGGACAAAGCAUGGUCACGAGAUGGUGCUAUUGGUCAGACGAAGAUUCAAUUAGGCAAAGAUCCUGACCAAGAUUCCAUGCUGAUCGAAUUGUUGUCUGCUGUGCGUUAAAGUGAAUAUUAUUUUAUUUUCCUAUUGCUCAGUCCCACAGCUAUGUUUACAUUCUGAUAUUGAAUAAAUAUUACUUGAAUAAAAGGCUAUAGUAAAAAUUUGACUGACAUUCCUCUUUACUUGCAUAGAAAUCAGUAUGUAGUUGCUGCUAUGAAUUAAGAACAGUAUCCUGUGAUGUACUUCUAUGCAGAUAUGUUUAGGUAUAAAGU
ensembl:lncRNA